UGAAGGAGUGUCCUUCACCACAAAUUGAGC
rnacentral:sRNA from 1 species